rnacentral:rRNA from 1 species
AAUAUUGUACAAUGGGGGCAACCCUGAUCCAGCCAUGCCGCGUCUGUGAAGAAGGUCUUCGGAUUGUAAAGCACCUUACGUUGGGAGGAAGCGCUUUACGCUAUUACCCUGAAGUUUUGACGUUACCAACAGAAUAAGCACCGGCUAACUCUGUGCCAGCAGCCGCGGUAAUACAGAGGGUGCAAGCGUUAAUCGGAAUUACUGGGCGUAAAGCGCACGUAAGUGGUUCAGUAAGAUGGGUGUGAAAUCCCCGGGCUUAAACUGGGAACUGCUUUCAUAACUGCUGAGCUAGAGUACGGUAGAGGGUAGUGGAAUUUCCUGUGUAGCGGUGAAAUGCGUAGAUAUAGGAAGGAACACCAGUGGCGAAGGCGACUACCUGGACUGAUACUGACACUGAGGUGCGAAAGCGUGGGGAGCAAACA